rnacentral:rRNA from 1 species
UACGAAGGUGGCAAGCGUUACUCGGAAUUACUAGGCGUAAAGGGCAGGUAGGUGGUUCGAUAAGUCUGUUGUGAAAUCUCCCGGCUUAACUGGGAGAGGUCAACAGAUACUGUCGGACUUGAGUAUAGGAGAGGGUACUGGAAUUCCCGGUGUAGCGGUGAAAUGCGCAGAGAUCGGGAGGAACACCAAUGGCGAAAGCAGGUACCUGGACUAUUACUGACACUCAACUGCGAAAGCUAGGGGAGCAAACAGG